GCCCCGUAUUUGUUUUUUUCGACAGCCGACCGCAUAACUGAUUAAAGCAACUCAGCCAUUUGAAAGAAAUAUGAUGGACUUUAAGGGACCUCUCCCUUUGUUUUAAGAAACAGAUAUCUUCUUAAUUACUUAGACUUGGGUCCUCCCGCGCCGUUCGACGCAUAGGGCGGCAAGCUGUCUCCACAAAGAUCUGUCACUGGCAAUGUCUAAAGCCUCCUCCCACUUGGUGUCCACUGUUCUGAGGUCCUCCAUGAAGGUGUGGCGCCAAGUUAUACGAGGACGUCCCUGUUUGCGCUUUCCUCGUAUUGGCAUCUAUGUCAUUGCAACUCUUGGUAUGUGUAGUUCAUUUAGUCGGAGAACAUGCCCCGCAAACCUCAUGAGACGCUCUGUCACAAUCUCACUAAGUGUUCGACUCCCUUUUCGGCAUAGGAUUUCCUUGUUUCAGACCCGAUCUAUGUAACUGACUCCCAAAAUCCGUCUCAGCCAUUUUCGUUGAGCCAAAUUUAGUCUUUUCUCAAUUUUGACAGACGACUUCCAUGUUUCACAUGCAUAUGUUGCUGUAGGUAUGACGAUUAUGUUAAGAAGGUGUAUUUUUGUCUCAAGUCCAAUGGCUUGGCCAAAUAGGCUGCAGCCUUUGGAAAAUGCUCCCCGCCUUUCCUAUUCGGCACGCUACAUCAUGGUAAGCAUCCCCAUCAUUUGUUAUGAUGCUGCCAAGGUAUGUGAACUUGUCCAGCUCUUCCAGCUUUGACUCGUCAAGUCUGACUGGGGCACCCUUUGCCUUAUAUCCCACUCGCAAAAUUCUAGUCUUUUGCAAGUUUAUGCGGAGGCCAGUUUUGGGUGCCUCUCUAUCUAGGCUCUCCGUCAUUUCUUGUAUGCUUUUAUUUGUAGCCCCGAGUAAACGGCAAAGUCCAAGUCCGUCAUUCGGUUUUGUUCACGCCAUGGAAUACCAAAGGCAGUCUGGUUCAUUGCUCUCCUCAUUAUGUAGUCGAUGGCUUGGAGGAAGAGGAAGGGAGAUAAGAUGCACUAUCAAACGCUUUCUUAAAGUCUACAAAACUGAUCGUUAGCCGUUGUUGGUAUUCGAGACUUUGUUCUAUGAUAUUUAGUAGAACGAAGAUCUGCUCUGCACAUCAUCUGCCUCUUAAGAAGCCUGCUUACUCUUUUCCGAGUUUCUCAUCUACAGACUACUGAAGCCGUCUCAACAGAACACUGCUGAAAACUUUGCCAGGGACAGAUAGGAGAAUAAUGCCCUUGCAAUUGUUGCAGUCUGCCAAGUUGCCACUUUUUUUUUUUUGAAGCUUUACAAUCACUCCUUUUUGCCAGUCCUCAGGGACUUUUUAGAAGUUCGCCAACAGAGAUUUAAGAGAUCAGUCAUUCUGUUAGCAAUGCACUGCCUCCCAUAUUUUAGCAUUUCUGCUGACACCAUGUCUAGCCCUGGUGCUUUGUUGUUCUUUAGGACUGCAAAGGCCAUGGUAAGCUCCUCUGUUGUUAUUGGGUCUGUUUUAACCUUGAGAUCAUUGUCCGGAGAAGGGUCCUUGAAUGUGUAGUCAGGUCUGGAAACAGUUGGUUAAGGGUCUCUUUAAAGUGCUCUACCCAUCUUGCAUACUGUUCUUCUUUCGUUCGCAAAGUUUUGCCUUGCUUGUCUUUUAUCGGUGCUCCAUGUCCACUCUUUGCUCCAGUGAGAUCUCGGACAAUACGUUGUGGAGUCUGUGUCAUUUCUGCAUGCAGCUGCUUGUGCCUCUUGACCCUUCUAUUAAAUCCAGUCCGGUUUAUCUCACCGACAGCUUCUCUUUACUUUCAGAUCUGCUUCCCUAUAGGCUUCGUCCGCAAGACUGCGAUCCUGUGUUGCAUUUUUCUGGUCUCGUCUACGUUUUGGCAUCUUUCCUCUCAUCGAUCAAUUUCCAUGUUCUGUCUUGUAUCCACAGUUCCUUGUAUGUACCUCCUUCCGAUGACUUCUUCCGCGCACUCAAUAGUGGUAUCUCUGCAAGAGCCUCGAAGCGGUUCUUUAGUUUCAAUUGGAACUGUGAUGUGAUGCAAUUUGGCCUCCGCAUAAACUUGGAUAAGACUAAAAUUUUGCGAGUGUAAUAUAAGUCUUUGAGCUUGUCUACAUUAAAUGAGCGGGGCCGUGUGGCUCGUUUUGGUUGGCGUUUCAGUCGGAGUUUACAUUUGCCACUGACAAGGUAGUGGUCUGAGCUAAUACCCGCUCCUCUGCGGGUCCGCACGUCUAAUAUUAGAUAUCUUCUAUUACAGAUGACUUUUCUACAUUUAUAUUUACAGAUGUCUUCCUCUGCGGUUUUCAGCGUACGUCACACACCGACAGGGGUAUUUCGUUUAUGUCUACAGAAGUGCAUAGAAGGGAAACGCGACCAGUAGAACGACCCCAUAUAGGAAAUGGACAAAUAGAGAGACUAAAUGGAACUUAUGGAAAGCCAUCACUUUGGUUUAACUUUUUAAGGAACUGGACAUAACUAAAUUGGAACUAGUAUUAAAUGGUGCUCUAAUCCAUCCUGCAAUUACUAUGCACUUCAACUAACAGCACACAACGUGAACGACUUUUUGGGUUUAACCGAAGAAGUGGCUCAGGGACAUCUUUACAAAAAUGGUUGACUGUCAGGGAGAGUACAUCCGAAAUAGCUUGCUGUGUGUUGCACCAAGUAGAUGGCUUCCUUCCGGUAAAGUGCAGAGAGCUGAUACAUAGAGAGUAGCAUUACUUCAUUAGUAGCGUGAGUGUCCAACGCCUAGACAGAUACCUCUGAUACCCAGGAGGUUGCACAAUCCAGUUUGACCACAGACCAUUGUCUACUAGCAGAUACACUGUCAAGAUUUAGCAUAGUUAGAUUAGUUAUAAUUGUUAGAAUUCAUCUUUUUUUCCCCAAUACAAUAUGAAACGCUGUUAUAACUAUUAGAGAUUGUAUCUUGUCAUAUAUUAUUGUUAUAUAUAGGAGUUGAUCUUUUCUUAUAUUUUUGCUGUUUUACAUACGUUCCAAUAGUAAUUUAACUUUCCGUGCUACUAUUUGUUUUUUUUGUUCUCAUUUAUUCUUUUCUCUCUUUCCCUUUGUUGUAAAUAGUGUCAUAUAAGUGAUAGCCUUAGCUGGAUAUAUUUCUUUUGUUAGGUUAAUAGGGGCUAUUUCACU